rnacentral:antisense_RNA from 1 species
UCGAACGCUUUGAGCGUUGCGCGCGGCAAGCGAAGAUCUACCGCGUUGGCAAAGCCGCAAAAAAAAGCCCCGACAAGCGGGGCUU